rnacentral:rRNA from 1 species
AAAUGUGGCCAUACCAGCCUGUGUUUGCCUGAUCUCGUUAGAUCUCUGAGGCUAAGCAGGUCUGGGCCUGGUUAGUAGGUGGAUGGGAGACCACUGAGAAUUCCAGGUGCCACAGUGG